rnacentral:pre_miRNA from 1 species
UGGAGUUCCUCCUGCCGCUUCAGUAAUGAUCUAUUAAUUCCUAGCUAGUUAACUAGUUUUUGACAAUCUUAAUUACUGAAGGGUUUGGAGGAACUCUAAG